UACGGAAGGCAGCAGUGGGGAAUAUUGCACAAUGGGCGAAAGCCUGAUGCAGCUAUGCCGCGUGUAUGAAGAAGGCCUUAGGGUUGUAAAGUACUUUCAUCGGGGAGGAAAAACAAAACUAAUAAUUUUAUUUCUUGACGUUACCCGAAAAAGAAGCACCGGCUAACUCCGUGCCAGCAGCCGCGGUAAUACGGAGGGUGCUAGCGUUAAUCAGAAUUACUGGGCGUAAAGAGCACGUAGGUGGUUUUUUUAAGUCAGAUGUGAAAUCCCUGGGCUUAACCUAGGAACUGCAUUUUGAAACUGAAAUACUAGAGUAUCGUAGAGGGAGGUAGAAUUCUAGGUGUAGCGGUGAAAUGCGUAGAUAUCUGGAGGAAUACCUGUGGCGAAAGCGGCCUCCUAAACGAAUACUGACACUGAGGUGCGAAAGCGUGGGGAGCAAACGAGGAUUAGGAUACC
rnacentral:rRNA from 1 species